rnacentral:rRNA from 1 species
UACGUAGGGGGCAAGCGUUGUCCGGAAUCAUUGGGCGUAAAGAGCGCGUAGGCGGUCCGGUAAGUCGGUUGUGAAAGUCGGGGGCUCAACCCUCGGAUGCCGAUCGAUACUGUCGGGCUAGAGUCCGGAAGAGGCGAGUGGAAUUCCUGGUGUAGCGGUGAAAUGCGCAGAUAUCAGGAGGAACACCGGUGGCGAAGGCGGGUCUCUGGGCCGUAACUGACGCUGAGGAGCGAAAGCAUGGGGAGCGAACAGG